rnacentral:rRNA from 1 species
CCCCUUGAAGACGACGAGGUAGAUAGGGCAGGGGUGGAAGGGCAGUAAUGUCCGGAGCUGACUGUUACUAAUCGGUCGAGGGCUUGACCUG